rnacentral:rRNA from 1 species
UACGUAGGGGGCAAGCGUUGUUCGGAUUUACUGGGCGUAAAGGGCGCGUAGGCGGCGCGUAAAGUCGGACAUGAAAUCAUUAGACUUAACCUGAUGGCUGUGCCCGAUACUUACGUGCUUGGAGUGCGGGAGAGGCAAUCGGAAGUCUCGGUGUAGCGGUGAAAUGCGUAGAUAUCGAGAGGAACUCCGGUGACGAAGGUGGGUUGCUGGACCGACACUGACGCUGAGGCGCGAAAGCUAGGGGAGCAAACGGG